UACGGAGGGGACUAGCGUUGUUCGGAAUUACUGGGCGUAAAGCGCACGUAGGCGGAUUUGUAAGUCAGGGGUGAAACUCCCGGGGCUCAACCUCGGAACUGCCUUUUGAUACUGCAAAUCUCGAGUCCGGAAGAGGUGAGUGGAAUUCCUAGUGUAGAGGUGAAAUUCGUAGAUAUUCGCAAGAACACCAGUGGCGAAAGCGGCCUUUCUGGUCCUUAACUGACGCUGAGGCGCGAAAAGCAUGGGGAGCGAACGGGG
rnacentral:rRNA from 1 species